rnacentral:rRNA from 1 species
GACGAACGCUGGCGGCGUGCUUAACACAUGCAAGUCGAACGGAAAGGCCCUGCUUUUGUGGGGUGCUCGAGUGGCGAACGGGUGAGUAACACGUGAGUAACCUGCCCUUGACUUUGGGAUAACUUCAGGAAACUGGGGCUAAUACCGGAUAGGAGCUCCUGCUGCAUGGUGGGGGUUGGAAAGUUUCGGCGGUUGGGGAUGGACUCGCGGCUUAUCAGCUUGUUGGUGGGGUAGUGGCUUACCAAGGCUUUGACGGGUAGCCGGCCUGAGAGGGUGACCGGCCACAUUGGGACUGAGAUGCGGCCCAGACUCCUACGGGAGGCAGCAGUGGGGAAUAUUGCACAGUGGGCGGAAGCCUGAUGCAGCAACGCCGCGUGCGGGAUGACGGCCUUCGGGUUGUAAACCGCUUUCGCCUGUGACGAAGCGUGAGUGACGGUAAUGGGUAAAGAAGCACCGGCUAACUACGUG